rnacentral:rRNA from 1 species
GACGAACGCUGGCGGCGUGCCUAAUACAUGCAAGUCGAGCGCAGGAAACCGUUCCGAACCCUCCGGGGGGACGAACGGCGGAAUGAGCGACGGACGGGUGAGUAACACGUAAAGAACCUGCCCAUAGGGCUGGGAUAACCACGAGAAAUCGGGGCUAAUACCGGAUGUGUCAUCGGACCGCAUGGUCCGCUGAUGAAAGGCGCUCCGGCGUCGCCCAUGGAUGGCUUUGCGGUGCAUUAGCUAGUUGGGGGGGUAAUGGCCCACCAAGGCGACGAUGCAUAGCCGACCUGAGAGGGUGAUCGGCCACACUGGGACUGAGACACGGCCGAGACUCCUACGGGAGGCAGCAGUAGGGAAUCUUCCACAAUGGACGAAAGUCUGAUGGGGCAACGCCGCGUGAACGAUGAAGGCUUUCGGGUCGUAAAGUUCUGUUGUAAGGGAAGAACAAGUGCCGCAGGCAAUGGCGGCACCUUGACGGUACCUUGCGAGAAAGCCACGGCUAACUACGUGCCAGCAGCCGCCGCAG